GGAUAUAGUUCAAUGGUAGAAUAGCGGUCUCCAAAACCGUUGAUGGGGGUUCGACUCCCUCUAUCCC
rnacentral:tRNA from 1 species